rnacentral:rRNA from 1 species
CCUACGGGCGGCUGCAGUGAGGAAUAUUGGUCAAUGGACGAGAGUCUGAACCAGCCAAGUAGCGUGAAGGAUGACUGCCCUAUGGGUUGUACACUUCUUUUCUAUGGGAAUACAAUGUUACACGUGUGGGAUUUUGUAUGUAACAUAUGACUAAGGAUCGGCUAACUACGUGCCAGCAGCCGCGGUCAUACGGAGGAUCCGCGCGUUAGCCGGAUUUCUUGGGUGUAAAGGGAGCGUAGGUGGAUUUUUAAGUCAGUUGUGAAAGUUUGCGGAUCAACCGUAAAAUUGCAGUUGAAACUGGCAGUCUUGAGUACAGGAGAGGUGGACGGAAUUCGUGGUGUAGCGGUGAAAUGCGUAGAUAUCACGAAGAACUCCGAUGGCGAAGGCAGCUCACUGGACUGCAACUGACACUGAGGCUCGAAAGUGUGGGGAUCAAACAGGAUUAGAUACCCGUGUAGUC